rnacentral:rRNA from 1 species
CCUACGGGUGGCAGCAGUGGGGAAUAUUGCACAAUGGGCGCAAGCCUGAUGCAGCCAUGCCGCGUGUGUGAAGAAGGCCUUCGGGUUGUAAAGCACUUUCAGCGGGGAGGAAGGCGGUGAGGUUAAUAACCUCAUCGAUUGACGUUACCCGCAGAAGAAGCACCGGCUAACUCCGUGCCAGCAGUCGCGGUAAUACGGAGGGUGCAAGCGUUAAUCGGAAUUACUGGGCGUAAAGCGCACGCAGGCGGUCUGUCAAGUCGGAUGUGAAAUCCCCGGGCUCAACCUGGGAACUGCAUUCGAAACUGGCAGGCUAGAGUCUUGUAGAGGGGGGUAGAAUUCCAGGUGUAGCGGUGAAAUGCGUAGAGAUCUGGAGGAGUACCGGUGGCGAAGGCGGCCCCCUGGACAAAGACUGACGCUCAGGUGCGAAAGCGUGGGGAGCAAACAGGAUUAGAUACCCGAGUAGUC